rnacentral:misc_RNA from 1 species
AGAAGCGCGAAGGUUGCACUCUAAAACCAUUAGUGAACAUACCUAUCUUAGCGUGCUUCGGCGGGUAGCUCGCCCUCGGGGCGGGGGAUUGGCUCGGCCGCGCCGAGGAGGUACGAAACUCUUUAUAAUUGCUAGAAUUUCAUUGCUGAGUUCAUUACAAGCAAAUAAGUUA